CUAUAUCCACCUGAGUUCUGACACAUUUGACCAACAAUAGAAGGUGAAAUGUGCAGAAGGGUAUCUCAGCUCUUUAAAUACUGGUGUGUACAUUGAGCUUUGUUAAACAGGAAAUCCUAGCAUGGGUCUAAUCCUACUCAAAUGUGCUAAUGAUCCUGGGUCUUGAUCCUGGGUCAUAUUUCUACAACCACUUUAAGUGUGCAUGGAUUUUUGGGGAACGUGGUACGUAUGGGCAAACAGUUAUAGAUUAAGCACAUUUGGGAGAUUCUCUGUUGCUGGAACUUCAUCUGUAAGAAGAAUUGUCAAUGUUUGGAACCUAAAUGCUAACAAAUUAGGCAUUAUGUUGGUCUCAUUUUAGGUUAUACUUAGGAGGAACCAGAAGAAUAUAGCUAUCAGCUUUCCACAUGGCCAUGAGUGAAGAUGAAGAGAUAGUAAAGUAAAACAUUUGGUGCAAAAGAUACUGAUGGCAGAACAGAAGAUGACUGGAUAGAGGGGACAUUCAGACAGGGGCCCAGAUUACAGGGAGUGUAAUUGGAGAACAGUGAAUAGCAUCAGAGCUGAUCUGUGGAGGACAAGAAACGACCCAGACAUUCCUCUAGAACCAACCCAACUUACAGGACAUACUGUAACAGUGUAGGUCACUGUAACCACUAUCCGUUCAACUACCGAGCGCCUCCCUGUUUCAUCUAUUGCUUCUCAUUGGAUCCUAUGAUCACUCGGCUACACAGCGGAUGCCUGCUGGACGGUUCAUUAACACAGUACUUCAUUUUAUUUACCUGUCGGCUCCAGCCUCGAACCCAGGCCCUGUCUGUAGCUAACUGACCCUCUCUGCCCAUUCAUCGCCAUGUUGUCUCACCCGUUGUUGUCUUAGCUCUCCCAAUCAACACCUGUGAUUGCUUUAUGCCUUUCUCUAAUGUCAAUAUGCCUUGUAUAUUGUUGUUUAGGGCAGCUCUCAUUGUUUAAUUUUACUGCGGAGCCCCUAGUCCUGCUCAACAUGCCUUAGAUAGCCCCCUUGUCCCAACCCCACACAUGUGGAGACCGCACUUAGCUUAAAUGGCACUUCCAGAGAUGCAACCUCUCUCAUCGUCACUCAAUGCUUAGGUUUACCCCCACUGUACUCGCACCCUACCAUACCCUUGUCUAUACACUAUGCCCUGAAUCUAUCCUACCAUGCCCAGAAAUUUGCUCCUUUUAUUCUCUGUUCCCAAAUCACUAGACAACCUGUACUUAUAGCCUUUAGCUGUACCCUCAUCCUACUCCUCCUCUGUUCCUCUAGUGAGGUAGAGGUUAACCCAGGCCCUGUGUGUCCCCAGGCGCUCUCAUUUGUUGACUUCUGCAACCGUAAAAGCCUUGGGUUCAUCCAUGUUAACAUCAGAAGCCUCCUCCCUAAGUUUCCUUUAUUCACUGCUUUAGCACACCCCGCCAACCCUGAUGUCCUAGCCGUGUCUGAAUCCUGGCUUAGGAAGGCCACCAAAAAUGCAGAAAUGUCCAUCCCCAAUUACAACAUUUUCCGUCAAGACAGAACAGCUAAAGGGGGCAGAAUUGCAAUCUACUGUAGAGAUAGCCUGCAGAGUUCUGUCAUACUAUCCAGGUCUAUGCCCAAACGGUUCGAGCUUCUACUUUCAAAGAUCCAUCUCUUCAGAAAUAAGUCCCUCACUGUUGCUGCUUGUUAUAGACCCCCUCAGCUCCCAGCUGUACCCUGGACACCAUGUUUGAAUUGAUUGCCCCCCAUCUAUCGUCAGAGUUCGUACUGCCAAGUGAUCUAAAUUGGGAUAUGCUUAACACCCCUGCCGUCCUACAAUCUAAGCUAGAUGCCCUCAAUCUCACACAAAUGAUCAAGGAACCUACCAGGUACAACCCCAAAUCCAUAAACAUGGGCACCCUCAUAGAUAUCAUCCUGACCAACUUGCCCUCUAAAUGCACCUCUGCUGUUUUCAACCAGGAUCUCAGCGAUCACUGCCUCAUUGCCUGCAUCCGUUAUGGGUCCGUGGUCAAACAACCUCCCCUCAUCACUGUCAAACGCUCCCUAAAACACUUCUGUGGGCAGGCCUUUCUAAUCGACCUGGCUCGGGUAUCCUGGAAGAAUAUUGACCUCAUCCCGUCAGUAGGGGAUGCCUGGUUUUUCUUUAAAAGUUCUUUCCUCACCAUCUUAAAUAAGCAUGCCCCCUUUAAAAAAAUGUAGACCUAAGAACAGAUAUAGCCCUUUGUUCACUCCAGACUUGACUGCCCUUGACCAGCACAAAAACACCCUGUGGCGUACUGCACUAGCUUCGAAUGGUCGCCAAUGAUAUGCAACUUUUCAGGGAAGUCAGGAACCAAUACACACAGUUAGUUAGGAAAGCAAAGGCUAGCUUUUUUCAAAAAUACCUCCUCCCAGCUGCCCAAUGCACUGAGACUAGGAAACACUCUCACCACUGAUAAAUCCACGAUAAUCGAGAAUUUCAGCAAGCAUUUCUCUACGGCUGGCCAUGCUUUCCACCUGGCUACCCCAACCCUGGCCAACAACUCUGCACCCCCCACAGCACCCCACUUCUCCUUCACCCAAAUCCAGACAGCAGAUGUUCUGAAAGAGCUGCAAAAUCUGGAUCUCUACAAAUCAGCUGGGCUAGACAAUCUGGACACUCUCUUCCUAAAAUGAUCUGCCAUUGUUGCAACCCCUAUUACUAGUCUGUUCAACCUCUUUCGUAUUGUCUGAGAUUCCUAAAGAUUGGAAAGCGGCCGCGGUCAUCCAACCUCUUCAAAGGGGGAGACAGACUGUUACAGACCUAUAUCCAUCCUGCCCUGCCUUUCUAAAGUCUUCGAAAGCCAAGUUAACAAACAGAUCACCGACCAUUUCAAAUCCCACCGUACCUUCUCUGCUAUGCAAUCUGGUUUCCGAGCUGGUCACGGGUGCACCUCAGCCACGCUCAAGGUCCUAAACAAUAUCAUAACCGCCAUCGAUAAAAGACUGUACACAGCCCAUCUGUAAAUAGCCCAUCCAAUCAACCACCUACCUCAUCCCCAUAUUUGUUUUUGUUUUUCUGCUCUAUUGCACACCAGUAUUUCCACUUGCACAUCCUCAUCUGCACAUAUAUCACUCCAGUGUAAAUUGCUAAAUUGUAAUUACUUCGCCACUAUUGUCCUAUUUAUUACCUUACCUCCUUACUUCAUUUGCACACACUGUAUACAGAUUUUUGUAUUGUGUUAUUGACUGUACUUUGAUAUAUCCCAUGUGUAACUCUGUGUUUUUUUUUGUCGCAC
ensembl:lncRNA